UACGAAGGGGGCUAGCGUUGCUCGGAAUCACUGGGCGUAAAGGGUGCGUAGGCGGGGCUUUAAGUCAGGGGGGAAAUCCUGGAGCUCAACUCCAGAACUGCCUUUGAUACUGAGGAUCUUGAGUUCGGGAGAGGUGAGUGGAACUGCGAGUGUAGAGGUGAAAUUCGUAGAUAUUCGCAAGAACACCAGUGGCGAAGGCGGCUCACUGGCCCGUAACUGACGCUGAGGCACGAAAGCGUGGGGAGCAAACAGG
rnacentral:rRNA from 1 species